UACGUAGGGUCCGAGCGUUGUCCGGAGUGACUGGGCGUAAAGCGCGCGCAGGCGGCCUGUUAGGCACGACGUGAAAGCCCCGGGCUCAACCCGGGAGGGUCGUCGUGAACCGGCGGGCUUGAGGCCGGUAGAGGUGGGUGGAACUCCUGGUGGAGUGGUGAAAUGCGUAGAGAUCAGGCGGAACACCCGUGGCGAAGGCGGCCAGCUGGGCCGUCCCUGACGCUGAGGCGCGAAGGCGUGGGGAGCGAACGGG
rnacentral:rRNA from 1 species